rnacentral:rRNA from 1 species
AUUGAACGCUGGCGGCAGGCCUAACACAUGCAAGUCGAGCGGUAACAGGACUAGCUUGCUAGUUGCUGACAAGCGGCGGACGGGUGCGUAACACGUAGGAAUCUACCCAGUAGCGGGGGAUAGCCCGGAGAAAUCCGGAUUAAUACCGCAUACGCCCUACGGGGGAAAGCAGGGGAUCUUCGGACCUUGCACUAUUGGAUGAGCCUGCGUCGGAUUAGCUUGUUGGUGAGGUAAAGGCUCACCAAGGCGACGAUUCAUAGCUGUUCUGAGAGGAAGAUCAGCCACACUGGGACUGAGACACGGCCCAGACUCCUACGGGAGGCAGCA